AGAUAUUUGAUCGUCUUUUGUCACCUUACACAAGCCUUCAGAUGUUCGUAGCUUUAUCUCACCUUGGAUGAUCUCAUGAAAUAACCAUUCCCUCAUGAAGCUGAUGGUAUCUAUUAUGGGACAAAUCCUAACUUGAAAUGGAAAUUAUGUAGAAGGAUCAAUUUUAAGAACAUUAAGUGAGGAAUUUUUACAAAUCUAGUAAAGUUUUCCUGCUUACACUUAGUGAGUUUAUCAAUGUAAUCACCACUAAUACAAUGUAUUCUUGUGGAUCUUACAUGUUCUUUAAAUUAGACUAUUUUGCACUGGAUCUCUUUCCUAUUUAUGUUUUUUUAAAUGUGUGAAGUUUUUAUGUCUGUAGUACUGCAAUCAUUAUUUAAAUCCAUGAAGUGGUACUCAUCUCAACAUUUUAUGUACAUAGUAUGUGAAUCAACCAGUUUUUAUUUAAAUGCCCUCCCAAAAUCACUAAGUAAUGUUAAGUUCAAACAUCUUUUAGAAUUAUGGGGCUAAAUCAUCAAAGAUUGUAGACAUUUAUGUCCUCAGAUAUCAUGUCAUUUGUAUCACAUUCUUUCUAUCUUAUGUGAAUUGCAGAAUAUCCCCACACAAUUCUUACUUAUGAAAUUAUAUUGUUAAAGCAUAUUCUCAUUUUUAAAGCUCUUAUAAAAGUUUUUUAAAAAAUCAUUGGGCCAUGGAGAGAGAAAAAUAUGGUUUGAAAAAUAUGGUUUGAAUAAUUCUAAUCCUGUCGUCUAAAGUUCACUUGGCUUUGAUGCAGAUAUCUCUUUAGUUCUUAUUUGAAUAGAUAUUCUUAUAGUUUUAUCAAUUAGAAAUAUAUAUCUGUUGGGUAUAUAUGGUAUUAUUUUUCUCCUCUAUUUUCAAGUGUUGGAGAUAUGAUAUUCCUUUUUUCUACUUUAUUUUCAAGUUGAAAUAACAUGAAAAGUUGCCACAUUUUCUACACUUUACAUUAAUCAGUAAACUUUUACCAGGAUAGUUUUUUUAUAUCUGAUUUUCAAAGAAUAAUACAAAGCUGGAUGAUAAACGAAGCUCAAAAAUAUAAGAUUUUUAACAAAGUUUUCUUGUCAUUUCAAUUGGCAAUCAGAAUGUCAAAUUUGGAUGAAUAAUACAGGACCUUACCAAGAAAUUAUGAUUUCAUUGUAAUAUCUAAGUCCAGGCACAUUUGGUACAUUUUUUUUUUUUUAUAAUGAAUUCAUUCUCUAUUGAAUACGUCAACAAAUAUGUGAGGUGUAAGUUGUGGUGUAUUAAAUAAGUUUUUCAUGUCAGUUUUUAUAUCUGGAAUACUUGUUUUACUGUUCAUGUCCUUUGCUAUGAUUUUUAAUUGUGAACUAGAUUGAUGUAAAUGUUGUCCAAUCAUAGUGAAUAAACUCAUUGUUAAAAAAUACCCCAAUUAAUUAUUACCAAUAUUGUUAUUUAAUGUUUAAGAUUAACUUAAGUUCUGGUCAUGAGAUUAAUUAUUAAAGAAAGUGAAAUAAAAUGAUUGGGAAUUGCUGAUAAUGCACCUAUGAAUUCUAGUACCCAGUAAGAUUUUUGAGUAACCAAAAUGAUCUGAAAUUAUGAUCUGCACUCAGAAAUAACAGUAUGGCACUACCCACUAAUGUCUUGAACAGGACCAGCAUUUUGGGUAAAAAAAAUUCUGAAAUUAAGUCCUAUGAAAUGCAAUCCUUUGCUGUGUUCCCUUUUGCUACAGUAUUCUUGAAUUAUCUUAAAAGACAUAAAAACUCACAAUUAAUGUUUUCUGCAUUUUCCUGUAUCAGGAAAUCCUGUUGAAGAAAAAUCACAGUAUCCCCUAAAAAUGUGAGCAAAAGUGAAAUAAGAAACCAGUAUGCUAUCAAACCUGUCUAUUUAGGCUACCAAAUGGAAACAGAAAAGUGUCCACUGUAGACAGGUAGCGUUUAGAGAAAGGUUAUAGACAAAAUUAUUUCAAAUGGUAAACAAUUCUCAUUAUGGACAGGUGACCAUUGAGUCAGGUUUGACUGUAGUGUACACACAUAAUAACGAUAUCUGGAUUCUUAAGAGAUUGAAAGGAUUUAAUAACUUUGUGGAGGUUUGCUAACAUCUGAGCUGCUGGACCCUAUUUGCUGUCAGUUCAUUAAAUAUUUUUUCUGAAGGAAAUCCUGAAAAAUUUUGUUUCAUAAGCAUCAUUACAUAAGUAAAAAGUUUGUUUUUUCCAUUUGUAGCCUACAGUGUUUCACUGUUGUCCUUAUCACAGCAAUUAAGUGGACGAUUAAGCUUUAAAAUCUCAGGCGAUUCCUGUCUGACCUACUGGAUUGCAAUUAUGAUUACCACAUGUAGUGCAAGAGAAAAAAAAAUUGAUCCUGAAUCAACUUAAAGAAUCCCUUUAAGGUAAAAGUAAGUUACAUGACACUUAAAUAGAGAAAUUGUGUAAUAUCCAAUCCGCUAUGUUCAAUUUCACUUUUUAUUUGGCUUGUCGUUUUGUAUCUGUUUAAUUCUAGCUCUUUAUUCUUCAAGUAACUGGAAUUUAGAAAACAUGUCUUGAUAUAUGUCCUGUAACUUUUUACGGUUUCUUCUUAAUUGAUGGAAAAUGUAACCACAUCCAUAGAGCAAAGAGAGCUUUAUGUGUGGGUUACUCAGAAAGUAACAUAUUUUUUAGGGUAUCUUAUUCUCUGAUGUGAUAAAUCUGAUACACGAGGAAUGCUCUUACCACCGGACAGGUAGCGUAUAUCUUUCAUUUGGAGAGGAAUAAGUAAGAGAUGGAAAUGAAUCUCUGAUGAUGCCCCAUUGAGGUAGCUUUUCAGAAAAGCUAUUCUGGAGAGGGUUCGCUCUGGGAUCAUUAAAAUUGUUAUGUCACUGAAUGAAGUCCUCAUCCGUGUCCUGUUGCUGCUAUUUGCUCGAAAUUAAUACUUGUGCUGAGAGAAACCAGCUUCAAAUUUAAUAGUCAAAAUCUGUAAUCUAAUCAUUUCCUUUUCAACCUUUUCUUUGAAGGAUAGAGUUACCAUGGUAUUUUCUCCCCCUUUUCCCUCGAUCUCUUUCUCUUUUUCUGUCUAUCUCCAUUUCUCUCUCUCUCACUCUCUGUUAGCUACCUUAUUCUUUCUCAGAAUUUAUUUCUGUUAUCAGAUUAAGAAACAAUUUUUUGAACAGUUUGAAUUUCAGUGAUGAAGUGAAUUAUAUUUAUGAUAGGAUAACAGAUAGAUAUCUAGGUUUGUUUGUGAUAUUGAUAUUAUAAGGUGUAAAUAACACUUGAUUACAUCAAAGGAAGCAGGAUCCAAGAACAUUACUAUGGAAAACAAAAUAAUGACAUGCUUAGUAAUCAGAAAAAAUGUAUUGUGGAAUUUAGCAAUCUCAAGAAAUUGGACACAAAUUAUAGAAACUGGA